rnacentral:rRNA from 1 species
CCUACGGGCGGCAGCAGUGGGGAAUAUUGGACAAUGGGGGAACCCUGAUCCAGCCAUGCCGCGUGUGUGAAGAAGGCCCUCGGGUUGUAAAGCACUUUCAGUGAGGAAGAACGCCUGGUGGUUAAUACCCAUCAGGAAAGACAUCACUCACAGAAGAAGCACCGGCUAACAUCCGUGCCAGCAGCCGCGGUAAUACGGAGGGUGCGAGCGUUAAUCGGAAUUACUGGGCGUAAAGCGCGCGUAGGUGGCUUGAUAAGCCGGUUGUGAAAGCCCCGGGCUCAACCUGGGAACGGCAUCCGGAACUGUCAAGCUAGAGUGCAGGAGAGGAAGGUAGAAUUCCCGGUGUAGCGGUGAAAUGCGUAGAGAUCGGGAGGAAUACCAGUGGCGAAGGCGGCCUUCUGGACUGACACUGACACUGAGGUGCGAAAGCGUGGGUAGCAAACAGGAUUAGAUACCCGUGUAGUC